UACGUAGGGUGCAAGCGUUUAAUCGGAAUUACUGGGCGUAAAGCGUGCGCAGGCGGUUUUGUAAGUUUGUCGUGAAAUCCCCGGGCUCAACCUGGGAAUGGCGAUGAAGACUGCAAGGCUAGAAUCUGGCAGAGGGGGGUAGAAUUCCACGUGUAGCAGUGAAAUGCGUAGAGAGUCCGGAAGAACGCCGGUGGCGAAGGCGGCCUGCUGGGCAGUAGCUGACACUGAGGCGCGACAGCGUGGGGAGCAACAGG
rnacentral:rRNA from 1 species